GUAGCAGGAUCUGUGACGUCUUUGAGGGAAACAAACCAACCACCCUGUUCACUGAGAUUAUACAGCACAUGGUACCUGAAUUGAUUUAAUAAAAAAAACACCCAGUGAACUGAGAUUAUACAGCACAUGGUACCUGAAUUGAUUUAAUAAAAAACACCCAGUGAACUGAUAGUAGAUAUUUGUUUACAGAGAUCGUCAAGAAAAGCGCAAAAGAACAUGUAAAUAUUUGUGAGGGACCAAGCUGGAACUGGAAGGACUCACGUUAAGCUAAGUUUGUAAUUUGCUGAGUGCGUGCUACUAACGUUGCUAUUUCAAAACUUCAAUUAGUUGUGUGCUAUUUAAUCGGGUAACAAUGCUAGCUAACUGUUGUAUUUGAUGAAGUGGUCUUUGUUGCCUGAGUAAAUUAAACGCCGGUGAAACUAAAGCUUGAAAAUGGACAAUGGCGUGAUUGAUCACCAAUCCCACGGUAUCGGUGCGUUUGACCUGUACCAUCAUUUCGUUCGAGGGGAAUACACGAUACAAUAGGGGAAACACCAUCGCCAAAUUCAAGGGUAAAUUGGAGAUGGUUGUGGGUACCCCGGCCUCCAUUAUGGAACUACAGCUUUUCUUCAACACCACCGACAAGUUCAGAAGCUGGACGACAACCAGGCCCUGCUUGGUUCCUACCCUGUGCAUGAUGACUGCAAAAUGAAUGUAUAGUAGAUUUCAAGCCAGGUCAUUGGGUGGGAGUGAAGUAUAACGAGCCUCUUGGGAAACAUGACGGGCAGUGUGAAGGAGAAGUGAUACUUUGAAUGUGAGAACAAGUACGUUGCGUUUGUCAGGCCCCGCACAAAGACCGUGGGGCACUUCCCAGAGGAAGACUUUCAUCUGGACGAGAUGUAGGACUGUGAUGCUGUCACCCUGUCAAGGGGUGUGGGCAGAUGGGUUCAACAGACCUCCAGUCUGAUUACGAACCCGGGGCGAGGGACAGUGUCAUUGCGAUUAAUAACUUUCUUUUGUUAUGUGCUGGCCAGGGAGGUAUGGGUUGGGCUAUAGAGAGCUGCAACUGGGGAAGGAGGCAGUAUCACCUAGGACCGACUCUAGCGUAUGACAUCUCAUGUGGCACAGCGGUCUAAGGCACUGCAUCUCCGUGCUAGAGACGUUGUGACAGACGCCCCUAGCAACAAAAAAAAGAGAAGUGGAAUUUACUGUAUAUUGAAUGAGGAGAGAUGAGAAAAGCACAAUGUUUUUGCAUUGUUACAAAUACGUUGUCGCUGUAUUUCAUGUAAAUGUCAUUUUAUUCGGUGGAUGUAGAAAGCAAGCAUUUCUAAAUUUGAUGUCCUCAGAAUUUUGAAUUGAACCUGAAUUGCCCAUCACAUCCUAGAUUCUAUAUGAAUAAUAGGCAGUCAUAAAAAUCACAACAAUGUUCAUCAAAUUUCAAUUAUCAUCCCAAGCCAGGGUUCUAUCAAACUUUCUAAAAUAAAUCCCAUGCUUUUGAAUGCAAGAAUUCAAGCAACAACAACAUAUCUAUUUGUACUACUGACCACUGGCAAAAUGUUCAGUUUAUUUGAAUAUCUGUUAGUUCAUUGGUUAUUGUACCAUAGAAGCUGUUUGUUUUUGUGUGUCGUGUCCCUGUUUUAGAUUCUGGAAACUUACACUGCUUCUAACACCAUAACACAACCACAAGGCUCUCCAAAGGAUUGUGCAGUCUGUACAACGCAUCACUGGGGGCAAACUACCUGCCCUCCAGGACACCUACAGCACCCAAUGUCACAGGAAGGCCAAAAAGAUAAUCAAGGACAACAACCACCCGAGCCACUGCCUGUUCACCCCGCUACCAUCCAGAAGGCAAGGUCAGUCAGUACAGGUGCAUCAGCUGGGACCGACUGGGGAAAAACAGCUAUCUCAAGGCCAUCACAGACUGUUAAACAACCAACACAGAGAGGCUGCUGCCUACAUACAGACUUGAAAUCAUUGGCCACUUUAAUAAAUGGAUCACUAGUUACUUUAAUAAUGCCACUUUAAUGUUUAUAUCUUACAUACUCUUCUCAUAUGUAUAUACUGUAUUUUAUACAAUGUAUUGCAUCUGGCCUAUGCCGUGUGGUCAUUGCUCAUCCAUAUAUUUAUACGUACAUAUUCUUAUUCCAUCCCUUUAGAUUUGUGUGUAUUAGGUAAUUAUUUUGGAUUUGUUAUAUAUUACUGCACUGUCGGAACUAGAAGCACAAGCAUUUCGCUACACUCGUAUUAACAUCUGCUAACCAUGUGUAUGUGACCAAUAAGAUUUGAUUAGAAUGUCGAAACAUCAGUUGUGCACAUUGACAGCAUACAGUUCAAACCGGCUGCCCAGGUGGUGACAAUGCACUUUUCAUGUAGAUAUCACGUCUUGUCUGAGCUUCAUUGUACUAAUCCUCAUCGCCACUUCUAACAGUUUGACUCAUGAAGGCAUGUGAUCUGUCAUUUGUUGUGUCACUCCUGGUUGAGUGAGUUUCGUAAGAGAGAAUGUGGAUACAAAAGCAAUUGAUUCAUUUGUUCCUUUUUUAUUGAAUUGUAUUUUUCCCAAGAUGUUGUCAGCAACUAACAUGCCCAGAGAUUUGACAUCUGUUUUUAUGAAAUCUCAAAGGUGUUGAUGUGCCAAGGUGUAAUGGUAUCUUAUGCAUAAUAAAAUGUAGUAUUACCAGCA